rnacentral:lncRNA from 1 species
GGGCCGCACCUGUGGUAUAUGGAGGUUCUCAGGCUAGGGAGGUCAAAUCAGAGCUACAGCUGCUGGCCUACACCACGGCCACAGCAACACCAGAUCCGAGCCACGUCUACGACCUACACCACAGCUCACAUCAAUGCCGGAUCCUUAACCUACUGAGCAAGGGCAGGGAUCGAACCUGCAACCUCAUGGUUCCUGGUCAGAUUCGUUUCCACUGCCACUACGGGAACUCCUGUGGACUUAUUGAUGAUAGUUAUUCUAACUUGUGUGAGGUGGUACCUCAUUGUAGUUUUGAUUUGCAUUUCUCUUCUAAUUUGUUAUGUGGAGCAUUUUUGUAUGUGCCUGCUGGGCAUCUGUAUGUCUUCUUUGGAGACAUGUCUGUUUACUCUUCUGCCCAUUUUUCAAUUGGAUUAUUUGGUUUUUUUGCUGUUGAGGAGAAUUUUUUUUAAAAGAUGCGUUUAAAAGAAAGUCUCCUUUGCUCGUUUUGCCCUUUCUUUUCUAAAACCUCAUUUAAUGGUUGGGUAGGUGAAGGCACUUCCAUUCUGUUUUAUGCCUUGAAAUAGCUUGCCAAUUCUAAGGGAUAUACUUCUGCUCUUAUAAACAAGGAAAGCUUGCCAACAGCUGCAGUACUGGCUAGUCUCACUUCAUAUGUUUAGUUCCCAAGAUAGCUGCCCUUUUUCUAGCGGAGAGCAGUCAGCUUGACUGUGUCACGAGAAUAGACAAACAUUUGUUCUGGGAUCAUGAGCCAUGGGGAUGUGCUCCCCCACUUAGACCGUGACACAUAUGCCUGUGUCUUAGGGUGUUACCUGCAGAUUAAUACCUUGAGUUAUUAAUUGUAGUUGCCUAAAACAUGUCAGGACACAUACAGAAAUUAUUCUUCCUGCAAGAGGACUUUUUCUUUCAUUUGAGAAAUAACAUGGCUUUUAAGUUUUUCUCUUAAAAAAAAAAAAAAAAGAAAAAAAGGAGGGCGUUCCUGUUGUGGCUCAGCGGCAGUGAACAGGACUAGAAUCCAUGAGGACGCGGUUCAGGUUUGAUCCUGGCCUUGCUCCGUGGGUAAAGGGGCUUCCGUGUAGGUCAUGGAUGCUUCUUAGAUCUGCUGUGGCUAUGGCAUGGGCCGGUGGCUGCAGCUCCAAUUUCACCCCUAGCCUGGGAACCUCCAGAUGCCACUUUUUAGGGUGUGGUCCUAAAAAGACAAAAAAGGAGAAAAAUUUUUUAAAAAUAAGCAAAAAUAAUAAUUUCACUUCCCCACAGUUCCACCGCCAGAGAUGACAUUAACAUUGCAGUGAUCCUCUGCUCCCCACCCCCACCCCACCCCCCGGGUGUUCUCGGGGGUUCGUCUUCCAUGCCCUCUCCACGUUCUGAAGUAGAUUUAUGUUGUACACAUUGUUUUUAAUGUUGAUGCUACACAAUGCAUCUCUUUUGUAUCAUUGACCACUUACUUGCAGGUAGCAAACCACUCUUGCUCUUUUAAGAGGAAUGGGAAUUAACAGUGGGAAUUUUGAAACUACUUAGUUCCUUUCAAAGUCAUUGGAAGAUACAGAGGAGUGGCCUCGAGUUCUGCUCUCCAGAAGUGACUUCCAGCAGAACAUGUUACUGGCGCACCAGGGGGAUUGCUACUGCUGUAACAGUCAAGGGCUUCAGCACUAGAUUUCUUUUUCUUUCUUUCUUUUUAGGGCCAUAGGUGCAGCAUAUGAAAAUUCCCAGGCUAGGGGUUGAAUUGGAGCUGCAGCUGUUGGCCUACGCCACAGCCACAGCCGCAGCAACACCAGAUCCGAGCUGCGUCUGUGACCUGUGCCACAGCUCUCGGCAAUGCCAGAUCCUUAACCCACUGCAUGAGGCCGGGGAUCGAACCCAUGUCCUCAUGGAUGCUCUUUGGGUUCCUUACCGCUGAGCCACUUUGGGAACUCCUGGCCCUGGGGUGUCUCACACUAGAACAUGCUGCGGUGGUUGUGUUCUGGGAGUGGGAGGCUGCCACACCUGUCUGCUGGCACCGAGUGACAAAACAUGGGAAAGCAGAAGAAGGCAACCUCUCCAUGGCUGCACAUGCCAUGGAGAUGGCUUCUGCCUGUCUUUUCACUUCCAAACCUAAGGUUAGGCUUUUCUGCAGGAAGUCUGGGAAAUGAAACAUUAAAAAUAAUAAUAAUGAUAAUCCAGAAAUGAAAUGCUUGACUCUAUAAACAUUUCUAUACAGUAACAUACACCAUACAAUUUUAAGAGACAAACCAAGUUAAGCCAUAAAAAUAUGUAUAGUAAAAUGUGUAGUAUACAGAUUUGUCUUACAAAACAAAGGGAAAAGAUGAUAUAUGAGAAAAAUUGGCAAGUGGUAUGAACUGGCAAUUCACAGAAGAAAUUAAAACGGCUUGUGACAAUAUAAAAGAUAGUAAAUCCCACUAGUGAUUAAGAAAAUGAAAGGUAAAAUAAUGAAAGGAUGCCUUUUCCCUGUCAGAUCACAGAGAAGCUAGAGUAAUUGCUAAUGUCCAUUUUUACAGUGUGGACAUAAACAGGCAUGCUCCCUGGCCAGCGGUAGAAGCUGUUUUGAAAAGCAGUUGGGAAGUUCUCAAAAUUCAAUGGUGCAUAUUGAGUUUUGAGAACAAUUUCAUUCUAAGAACUACUUUAUAAGCACAGCCUCAUUUGUUAUAGGAAUAAAUGUUGUUUUCAUAAUUAGUGGGCACUGUGCUUUAUUUGCUGCACUUAAAUUGGUUUUACUCCUGGACUUGGAGAACAGACUUGUGGUUGCCGAGGGGGAGGGGGAGGGAGUGGGAUGGACUGGGAGUCGAGGGUUCAUAGAUGCAAACUACUGCCUUUGGAGCGUAUAAGCAAUGAGAUCCUGCUGUAGAGCACGGGGAGCUCUGUCUAGUCCCUUGUGAUGGAACAGGAUGGAGGAUAAUGGGAGAAAGAGCAUGUAUGUAUGUACGUACGUGUGACGGGGUCACUUUGCAGUAGAAAAUUGGCAGAACACUGUAAACCGACUAUAAUGGAAAAAAUAAAAAUCAUUAAAAAAGAUAAAUUGGUUUUACUUUAACAGCAUUAUAAAUAAACUAUUAUAAAAUAUCUUUAAAAAUAAAACAGGAGGGAAAUGGAAAAAAAAAAAAA